rnacentral:rRNA from 1 species
UACGGAGGAUGCGAGCGUUAUCCGGAUUUAUUGGGUUUAAAGGGUGCGUAGGCGGCUCUUUAAGUCAGUGGUGAAAUCCUGCGGCUUAACCGUAGAACUGCCAUUGAUACUGAAGAGCUUGAGUACAAUUGAGGUAGGCGGAAUGUGUAGUGUAGCGGUGAAAUGCUUAGAUAUUACACAGAACACCAAUUGCGAAGGCAGCUUACUAAACUGUAACUGACGCUGAGGCACGAAAGCGUGGGGAUCAAACAGG